UUAAGCGACUAAGCGUACACGGUGGAUGCCCUGGCAGUCAGAGGCGAUGAAGGGCGUGCUAAUCUGCGAUAAGCGCCGGUAAGGUGAUAUGAACCGUUAUAACCGGCGAUACCCGAAUGGGGAAACCCAGUGUGACUCGUCACACUAUCAUUAACUGAAUCCAUAGGUUAAUGAGGCGAACCGGGGGAACUGAAACAUCUAAGUACCCCGAGGAAAAGAAAUCAACCGAGAUUCCCCCAGUAGCGGCGAGCGAACGGGGAGGAGCCCAGAGCCUGAAUCAGCAUGUGUGUUAGUGGAAGCGUCUGGAAAGGCGCGCGAUACAGGGUGACAGCCCCGUACACAAAAGCGCAUGUGCUGUGAGCUCGAUGAGUAGGGCGGGACACGUGGUAUCCUGUCUGAAUAUGGGGGGACCAUCCUCCAAGGCUAAAUACUCCUGACUGACCGAUAGUGAACCAGUACCGUGAGGGAAAGGCGAAAAGAACCCCGGCGAGGGGAGUGAAAAAGAACCUGAAACCGUGUACGUACAAGCAGUGGGAGCACCCUUUGGGGUGUGACUGCGUACCUUUUGUAUAAUGGGUCAGCGACUUAUAUUCUGUAGCAAGGUUAACCGUAUAGGGGAGCCGGAGGGAAACCGAGUCUUAACCGGGCGUUAAGUUGCAGGGUAUAGACCCGAAACCCGGUGAUCUAGCCAUGGGCAGGUUGAAGGUUGGGUAACACUAACUGGAGGACCGAACCGACUAAUGUUGAAAAAUUAGCGGAUGACCUGUGGCUGGGGGUGAAAGGCCAAUCAAACCGGGAGAUAGCUGGUUCUCCCCGAAAGCUAUUUAGGUAGCGCCUCGUGAAUUCAUCUCCGGGGGUAGAGCACUGUUUCGGCUAGGGGGCCAUCCCGGCUUACCAACCCGAUGCAAACUGCGAAUACCGGAGAAUGUUAUCACGGGAGACACACGGCGGGUGCUAACGUCCGUCGUGAAGAGGGAAACAACCCAGACCGCCAGCUAAGGUCCCAAAGUCAUGGUUAAGUGGGAAACGAUGUGGGAAGGCCCAGACAGCCAGGAUGUUGGCUUAGAAGCAGCCAUCAUUUAAAGAAAGCGUAAUAGCUCACUGGUCGAGUCGGCCUGCGCGGAAGAUGUAACGGGGCUAAACCAUGCACCGAAGCUGCGGCAGCGACGCUUAUGCGUUGUUGGGUAGGGGAGCGUUCUGUAAGCCUGUGAAGGUGGCCUGUGAGGGUUGCUGGAGGUAUCAGAAGUGCGAAUGCUGACAUAAGUAACGAUAAAGCGGGUGAAAAGCCCGCUCGCCGGAAGACCAAGGGUUCCUGUCCAACGUUAAUCGGGGCAGGGUGAGUCGACCCCUAAGGCGAGGCCGAAAGGCGUAGUCGAUGGGAAACGGGUUAAUAUUCCCGUACUUGGUGUUACUGCGAAGGGGGGACGGAGAAGGCUAUGUUGGCCGGGCGACGGUUGUCCCGGUUUAAGCGUGUAGGUGUGUGUUCCAGGUAAAUCCGGUUCACUUUAACACUGAGGCGUGACGACGAGGCACUACGGUGCUGAAGCAACAAAUGCCCUGCUUCCAGGAAAAGCCUCUAAGCAUCAGGUAACAUCAAAUCGUACCCCAAACCGACACAGGUGGUCAGGUAGAGAAUACCAAGGCGCUUGAGAGAACUCGGGUGAAGGAACUAGGCAAAAUGGUGCCGUAACUUCGGGAGAAGGCACGCUGACACGUAGGUGAAGUGAUUUACUCACGGAGCUGAAGUCAGUCGAAGAUACCAGCUGGCUGCAACUGUUUAUUAAAAACACAGCACUGUGCAAACACGAAAGUGGACGUAUACGGUGUGACGCCUGCCCGGUGCCGGAAGGUUAAUUGAUGGGGUCAGCGCAAGCGAAGCUCCUGAUCGAAGCCCCGGUAAACGGCGGCCGUAACUAUAACGGUCCUAAGGUAGCGAAAUUCCUUGUCGGGUAAGUUCCGACCUGCACGAAUGGCGUAAUGAUGGCCAGGCUGUCUCCACCCGAGACUCAGUGAAAUUGAACUCGCUGUGAAGAUGCAGUGUACCCGCGGCAAGACGGAAAGACCCCGUGAACCUUUACUAUAGCUUGACACUGAACAUUGAGCCUUGAUGUGUAGGAUAGGUGGGAGGCUUUGAAGUGUGGACGCCAGUCUGCAUGGAGCCGACCUUGAAAUACCACCCUUUAAUGUUUGAUGUUCUAACGUGGACCCGUAAUCCGGGUUGCGGACAGUGUCUGGUGGGUAGUUUGACUGGGGCGGUCUCCUCCUAAAGAGUAACGGAGGAGCACGAAGGUUGGCUAAUCCUGGUCGGACAUCAGGAGGUUAGUGCAAUGGCAUAAGCCAGCUUGACUGCGAGCGUGACGGCGCGAGCAGGUGCGAAAGCAGGUCAUAGUGAUCCGGUGGUUCUGAAUGGAAGGGCCAUCGCUCAACGGAUAAAAGGUACUCCGGGGAUAACAGGCUGAUACCGCCCAAGAGUUCAUAUCGACGGCGGUGUUUGGCACCUCGAUGUCGGCUCAUCACAUCCUGGGGCUGAAGUAGGUCCCAAGGGUAUGGCUGUUCGCCAUUUAAAGUGGUACGCGAGCUGGGUUUAGAACGUCGUGAGACAGUUCGGUCCCUAUCUGCCGUGGGCGCUGGAGAACUGAGGGGGGCUGCUCCUAGUACGAGAGGACCGGAGUGGACGCAUCACUGGUGUUCGGGUUGUCAUGCCAAUGGCACUGCCCGGUAGCUAAAUGCGGAAGAGAUAAGUGCUGAAAGCAUCUAAGCACGAAACUUGCCCCGAGAUGAGUUCUCCCUGAGACUUAGAGUCUCCUGAAGGAACGUUGAAGACGACGACGUUGAUAGGCCGGGUGUGUAAGCGCAGCGAUGCGUUGAGCUAACCGGUACUAAUGAACCGUGAGGCUUAACCUU
rnacentral:rRNA from 1 species